rnacentral:rRNA from 1 species
AUAUUGCGCAAUGGAGGGAACUCUGACGCAGCGACGCCGCGUGAGCGAUGAAGGUNUUNNGAUCGNANAGCUCUGUCCUUGGGNNNNNAGGUCUUCGGACUUGACGGUACCUAAGGAGGAAGCCCCGGCUAACUACGUGCCAGCAGCCGCGGUAAUACGUAGGGGGCAAGCGUUGUCCGGAAUUAUUGGGCGUAAAGGGUGCGUAGGCGGCCUUUUAAGUCAGAUGUGAAAGCCCACGGCUUAACCGUGGGACUGCAUGUGAAACUGGAGGGCUUGAGUAUCGGAGAGGGUAGUGGAAUUCCCAGUGUAGCGGUGGAAUGCGUAGAUAUUGGGAGGAACACCAGUGGCGAAGGCGACUACCUGGACGAAAACUGACGCUGAGGCACGAAAGCUAGGGGAGCAAACA